AAAUGAGUUAAAACAUCAUGAAGCUCCUCCUAGAAUGGAAUGCCAUCCAUGAGAGAGGAAGGAAGACAAAUUAAGUCUAAAAUUAAUGCAUGUCACCAGCUCCCCCCAAAUAUUGACUCAUAAUCAGGCCAAGCGCCACAGCAUGGCUUGAUGAGUGGCAUGUAGGUCCAUGCUCAGGAUCCGAACCUGUGAACCCCUAGCCGCCAAAGCAGAGCACACGAAUUUAACCACUACACAACCGUGCUGGCCCCUGAAAUGUCAUAAUAUUUUUAAUGAAAAUAUCAUGAUGUGAAACAAAAGGGCUGGCCCCGUGGCUGAGUGGCUGAGUUCACACGCUCCGCUGCAGGCGGCCCAGUGUUUCGUUGUUUCGAAUCCUGGGCACGGACAUGGCACUGCUCAUCGAGCCACGCUGAGGCGGCGUCCCACGUGCCACAACUAGAAGAACCCACAACGAAGAAUAUACAACUAUGUACUGGGGGGCUUUG
rnacentral:lncRNA from 1 species